UGUAUAAUGGGUCAGCGACUUAUAUUCUGUAGCAAGGUUAACCGAAUAGGGGAGCCGAAGGGAAACCGAGUCUUAACUGGGCGUUAAGUUGCAGGGUAUAGACCCGAAACCCGGUGAUCUAGCCAUGGGCAGGUUGAAGGUUGGGUAACACUAACUGGAGGACCGAACCGACUAAUGUUGAAAAAUUAGCGGAUGACUUGUGGCUGGGGGUGAAAGGCCAAUCAAACCGGGAGAUAGCUGGUUCUCCCCGAAAGCUAUUUAGGUAGCGCCUCGUGAAUUCAUCUCCGGGGGUAGAGCACUGUUUCGGCAAGGGGGUCAUCCCGACUUACCAACCCGAUGCAAACUGCGAAUACCGGAGAAUGUUAUCACGGGAGACACACGGCGGGUGCUAACGUCCGUCGUGAAGAGGGAAACAACCCAGACCGCCAGCUAAGGUCCCAAAGUCAUGGUUAAGUGGGAAACGAUGUGGGAAGGCCCAGACAGCCAGGAUGUUGGCUUAGAAGCAGCCAUCAUUUAAAGAAAGCGUAAUAGCUCACUGGUCGAGUCGGCCUGCGCGGAAGAUGUAACGGGGCUAAACCAUGCACCGAAGCUGCGGCAGCGACGCUGAUGCGUUGUUGGGUAGGGGAGCGUUCUGUAAGCCUGUGAAGGUGUACUGUGAGGUAUGCUGGAGGUAUCAGAAGUGCGAAUGCUGACAUAAGUAACGAUAAAGCGGGUGAAAAGCCCGCUCGCCGGAAGACCAAGGGUUCCUGUCCAACGUUAAUCGGGGCAGGGUGAGUCGACCCCUAAGGCGAGGCCGAAAGGCGUAGUCGAUGGGAAACAGGUUAAUAUUCCUGUACUUGGUGUUACUGCGAAGGGGGGACGGAGAAGGCUAUGUUGGCCGGGCGACGGUUGUCCCGGUUUAAGCGUGUAGGCUGGUUUUCCAGGCAAAUCCGGAAAAUCAAGGCUGAGGCGUGAUGACGAGGCACUACGGUGCUGAAGCAACAAAUGCCCUGCUUCCAGGAAAAGCCUCUAAGCAUCAGGUAACAUCAAAUCGUACCCCAAACCGACACAGGUGGUCAGGUAGAGAAUACCAAGGCGCUUGAGAGAACUCGGGUGAAGGAACUAGGCAAAAUGGUGCCGUAACUUCGGGAGAAGGCACGCUGAUAUGUAGGUGAAGCGACUUGCUCGUGGAGCUGAAAUCAGUCGAAGAUACCAGCUGGCUGCAACUGUUUAUUAAAAACACAGCACUGUGCAAACACGAAAGUGGACGUAUACGGUGUGACGCCUGCCCGGUGCCGGAAGGUUAAUUGAUGGGGUCAGCGCAAGCGAAGCUCUUGAUCGAAGCCCCGGUAAACGGCGGCCGUAACUAUAACGGUCCUAAGGUAGCGAAAUUCCUUGUCGGGUAAGUUCCGACCUGCACGAAUGGCGUAAUGAUGGCCAGGCUGUCUCCACCCGAGACUCAGUGAAAUUGAACUCGCUGUGAAGAUGCAGUGUACCCGCGGCAAGACGGAAAGACCCCGUGAACCUUUACUAUAGCUUGACACUGAACAUUGAGCCUUGAUGUGUAGGAUAGGUGGGAGGCUUUGAAGUGUGGACGCCAGUCUGCAUGGAGCCGACCUUGAAAUACCACCCUUUAAUGUUUGAUGUUCUAACGUUGACCCGUAAUCCGGGUUGCGGACAGUGUCUGGUGGGUAGUUUGACUGGGGCGGUCUCCUCCUAAAGAGUAACGGAGGAGCACGAAGGUUGGCUAAUCCUGGUCGGACAUCAGGAGGUUAGUGCAAUGGCAUAAGCCAGCUUGACUGCGAGCGUGACGGCGCGAGCAGGUGCGAAAGCAGGUCAUAGUGAUCCGGUGGUUCUGAAUGGAAGGGCCAUCGCUCAACGGAUAAAAGGUACUCCGGGGAUAACAGGCUGAUACCGCCCAAGAGUUCAUAUCGACGGCGGUGUUUGGCACCUCGAUGUCGGCUCAUCACAUCCUGGGGCUGAAGUAGGUCCCAAGGGUAUGGCUGUUCGCCAUUUAAAGUGGUACGCGAGCUGGGUUUAGAACGUCGUGAGACAGUUCGGUCCCUAUCUGCCGUGGGCGCUGGAGAACUGAGGGGGGCUGCUCCUAGUACGAGAGGACCGGAGUGGACGCAUCACUGGUGUUCGGGUUGUCAUGCCAAUGGCACUGCCCGGUAGCUAAAUGCGGAAGAGAUAAGUGCUGAAAGCAUCUAAGCACGAAACUUGCCCCGAGAUGAGUUCUCCCUGACUCCUUGAGAGUCCUGAAGGAACGUUGAAGACGACGACGUUGAUAGGCCGGGUGUGUAAGCGCAGCGAUGCGUUGAGCUAACCGGUACUAAUGAACCGUGAG
rnacentral:rRNA from 1 species